AACCCCGGCGAGGGGAGUGAAAAAGAACCUGAAACCGUGUACGUACAAGCAGUGGGAGCACCCUUUGGGGUGUGACUGCGUACCUUUUGUAUAAUGGGUCAGCGACUUAUAUUCUGUAGCAAGGUUAACCGUAUAGGGGAGCCGGAGGGAAACCGAGUCUUAAUUGGGCGUUAAGUUGCAGGGUAUAGACCCGAAACCCGGUGAUCUAGCCAUGGGCAGGUUGAAGGUUGGGUAACACUAACUGGAGGACCGAACCGACUAAUGUUGAAAAAUUAGCGGAUGACCUGUGGCUGGGGGUGAAAGGCCAAUCAAACCGGGAGAUAGCUGGUUCUCCCCGAAAGCUAUUUAGGUAGCGCCUCGUGAAUUCAUCUCCGGGGGUAGAGCACUGUUUCGGCUAGGGGGCCAUCCCGGCUUACCAACCCGAUGCAAACUGCGAAUACCGGAGAAUGUUAUCACGGGAGACACACGGCGGGUGCUAACGUCCGUCGUGAAGAGGGAAACAACCCAGACCGCCAGCUAAGGUCCCAAAGUCAUGGUUAAGUGGGAAACGAUGUGGGAAGGCCCAGACAGCCAGGAUGUUGGCUUAGAAGCAGCCAUCAUUUAAAGAAAGCGUAAUAGCUCACUGGUCGAGUCGGCCUGCGCGGAAGAUGUAACGGGGCUAAACCAUG
rnacentral:rRNA from 1 species